AAGUGCUGAUUUAUUAUACAGACAUUAACCCAUCGCUGCCUGUGCAGGAAUACAGAUCCGCCAUUUCAACUGCCAUUUGUAUCUGUAACAUGAUACCCAUUCCCAGCUGGGGCUGGUCACGUGACUGGCAUUGUUAUUUCAGCCCUAUGUAACUAUAUGUAUGUAACCCACAUUCCCAGUCAGUUGCACAUGUGAUGUCACAAUGGUUUGAACCUCACAAAGGUUUGAGUAAAUGUAAUUAGUGUUUGUUGUGAGUGAUGUCGUUGUGAUGUCACAAUGGGCACAGUCAAAGUGUCCAAGCAGCGGCCAAACUGGCUCAUUCUUGAUCAGGCGACUGAGGUAGGUGGAGCUCUAGGGAUGUUUGUGCCAACGUUAGCAGGAAUAAGAGAUAAUAAUAACUAAUCAGUUUAAUACUGGCGCUGUGGGGGCUUUAGUGUAGUUUUGUUCACAAUGGCACAAAAAUUUGGCAACAAUUUGUCAAAAAAAUUGACGCACGCGUGAAAAGAAAUGUUGAGCGUCGUGUUUCUGUGCGUCUUUUUUCAUGUUUUGAAGAUUUUUCGCUGUUUCACUUUUUUUGACAGUUUCACUCAUAUUUUACUCACUAAUUACUGUAACUAAAGUGAUAUUUCUUUUUGUCUCCAUAGAGAGAAAUUGAGAGAAUGUUUCGACGUUUAAUUUCGUGGCUCCCUUGUGUGCCAAGGAAACGACGGAAUAAACCGAGAGAAUCUCUUGCGAUUGAAAGCGAUGAAGUCGGCGCGGUCGUCGUGGUAAGCAGAGAGGAACUGGUUAACACAAUAUAAUGAUCACUCUUUGCUCACUAUUUGUGCUUUUUCAGCCAUUUCAUUUACUUUUAUUUUUUGCUAUUUUUGCUCGUUUAUUC